ensembl:miRNA MIR708 microRNA 708
CUGUGCGUGACGUGGUGACUGCCCUCAAGGAGCUUACAAUCUAGCUGGGGGUGAGAGACCUGCACAGGAUCUCAACUAGACUGGGAGCUUCUAGAGGGCAGGGGCCUUA